AUGGAGGAGGUGAGCGCCGAGGCCGCGGCCGUGGCGAGCGGCAUGGCGCCUGGCGCCGGAGCCGGAGGAGCAGAGGGCGCGACGAUGAAGGUGGUGGCGGCGGUGGACGCGAGCGAGGAGAGCCUGCACGCGCUGUCGUGGGCGCUCGACAACGUCGUCCGGCCCCACCCCGGCGCGUCCGUCGUCGUCGUCCACGUCCAGCAUCACGCCGACCACUUCGCCUACCCUGUCGCCGGGCACGGCCUACAGUACGUCCCGCCCACGGCGGUGGACUCCGUGAGGAAGACGCACGAGGAGAACUCCCGGCGAGUCGUGUCCGCCGCGCUCGAUGUCUGCAGGCAGAAACAGGCGAGCGCCACGGCGGCGGUGGUGGAGGGCGACGCCAAGGAGGCCAUCUGCCGCGCCGUGGAGGACAUGCACGCCGACCUCCUCGUCCUCGGCAGCCGCGGCCUGGGCAUGAUCAAGAGGGCGUUGCUGGGCAGCGUGAGCGACUACCUCGUCCACCACGCCUCCUGCCCCGUUCUCAUCGUGAAGCCGCCCAACAAAGCGCACCACAAGUGA
rnacentral:rRNA from 1 species